UAAAUAAAUAAAAUUUGUAUUUCAUCAGUUAUUGAUUCAGGUUACAACAAAUAUACACCAACCCACAUGCCCAAUUGGGCUUUUCUCCCCAACACAGUUCAAAAUUCACACAAAACACAUAAAAAAAAAAAAAUUGGAAAAAAAAAAACCACACACUCUUUUGCUCUCUGAUCUGAACAAGAACAGAAAACAUAUGAAGAAGCUAAGGAGGAAGAGGCUUAAACAUUGGCAGAGUUGUCGUGCUUGAAAGGAUGUGGUGGAGGAGAUGAAGGUAGAGAAUUAUUAGCUCCUUGUGGUGGAGUAGGCACCCCAUAAACCUGAGCUGAGGCAAUUGCGUCUUUUCGCCCUCUGGCUCUUCCAAAGAAGUAGCACCCAAAACCAAGCAGUAUGGUGAACAAAAUAAAAGGCAGAGAGAUCACCACAACCAUACCCAUCUUUAGUUUCUUUUCUUCUCUCUUCUUACUAGCUCUCUGUAACUACUUUCACUUCUCAAAGCUUUCUUCUUUCUUUGAGUUCGGAUAAGACCGACUGGGUGAGUGUGUGUGUAUAUAUAUUAUAUGGUCUGGUGCCAAUCUGGAAGUAUCGGAUUCUGUCCACAAGAGCAAAGCAAG
rnacentral:lncRNA from 1 species